rnacentral:rRNA from 1 species
UACGUAGGGGGCAAGCGUUGUCCGGAAUCAUUGGGCGUAAAGAGCGUGUAGGCGGUCCGGUAAGUCCGCUGUGAAAGUCGGGGGCUCAACCCUCGAAUGCCGGUGGAUACUGUCGGGCUAGAGUGCGGAAGAGGCGAGUGGAAUUCCUGGUGUAGCGGUGAAAUGCGCAGAUAUCGAGAGGAACACCUGCGGCGAAGGCGGGGUUGCUGGGCUGACACUGACGCUGAAGCGCGAAAGCUAGGGGAGCGAACGGGG